GCAAUACCUGCCCAGUGCGAAAUAUUACUGUAAACGGCCGCCCUAGCGUGAGGGUGCUAAGGUAGCGAAAUUCCUUGCCUUUUGAUUGUAGGCCUGCAUGAAUGGUUUAACGAGGGUUUAACUGUCUCUAAAUUUUUUAUUGAAAUUGUACUGAAGGUGAAGAUACCUUCAUUUAAAAGUUAGACAAAAAGACCCCGUGCAACUUUGAAAAUUAACUUUAUUCAGAAGUAAAAGAUUUUUAGGUGGGGCGCCUAGAAAGUAAGCCUAACCUUUCUGAAUAAUUAGUUCUUUCCGGAUUCGACCCGAUUAUAUUCGAUCAUAGGAGAAGUUACGCCGGGGAUAACAGGCUAAUCCUUUAGUAGAGCUCGUAUUGGCUAAAGGGAUUGGCACCUCGAUGUUGAAUCAGGGAUGAUAGCUUCAAGGCGUAGAGGCUU
rnacentral:rRNA from 1 species